rnacentral:rRNA from 1 species
GUGGACGCCAGUCUGCAUGGAGCCGACCUUGAAAUACCACCCUUUAAUGUUUGAUGUUCUAACGUGGACCCGUAAUCCGGGUUGCGGACAGUGUCUGGUGGGUAGUUUGACUGGGGCGGUCUCCUCCUAAAGAGUAACGGAGGAGCACGAAGGUUGGCUAAUCCUGGUCGGACAUCAGGAGGUUAGUGCAAUGGCAUAAGCCAGCUUGACUGCGAGCGUGACGGCGCGAGCAGGUGCGAAAGCAGGUCAUAGUGAUCCGGUGGUUCUGAAUGGAAGGGCCAUCGCUCAACGGAUAAAAGGUACUCCGGGGAUAACAGGCUGAUACCGCCCAAGAGUUCAUAUCGACGGCGGUGUUUGGCACCUCGAUGUCGGCUCAUCACAUCCUGGGGCUGAAGUAGGUCCCAAGGGUAUGGCUGUUCGCCAUUUAAAGUGGUACGCGAGCUGGGUUUAGAACGUCGUGAGACAGUUCGGUCCCUAUCUGCCGUGGGCGCUGGAGAACUGAGGGGGGCUGCUCCUAGUACGAGAGGACCGGAGUGGACGCAUCACUGGUGUUCGGGUUGUCAUGCCAAUGGCACUGCCCGGUAGCUAAAUGCGGAAGAGAUAAGUGCUGAAAGCAUCUAAGCACGAAACUUGCCC